rnacentral:rRNA from 1 species
AGAGUUUGAUCCUGGCUCAGGAUGAACGCUAGCGGCAGGCCUAAUACAUGCAAGUCGAACGGUAACAUGAGAGCUUGCUCUUGAUGACGAGUGGCGCACGGGUGCGUAACGCGUAUGCAACCUACCCUUUACUGGGGGAUAGCCCGGAGAAAUCCGGAUUAAUACCCCAUGGUACUGUAAUGUAGCAUUACAUAGCAGUUAAAGAUUUAUUGGUAAAGGAUGGACAUGCGUGACAUUAGUUAGUUGGUAAGGUAACGGCUUACCAAGACGAUGAUGUCUAGGGGUUCUGAGAGGAAGGUCCCCCACACUGGUACUGAGACACGGACCAGACUCCUACGGGAGGCAGCAGUAGGGAAUAUUGGUCAAUGGACGCAAGUCUGAACCAGCCAUGCCGCGUGCAGGAUGACAGCUUUCUGAGUUGUAAACUGCUUUUAUAUAGGAACAAAGAGGCCAUGCGUGGCAAGUUGCGUGUACUAUAUGAAUAAGCAUCGCUAACU